rnacentral:rRNA from 1 species
AGUUAAAUGUUCUUAGUGAACAUAGCGAACUGCUCAGUAACACGUGGAUAACCUACCCUUAGGACCGGAAUAACCCCGGGAAACUGGGGAUAAUACCGGAUAAGCCAUAUACGCUGGAAUGCCCUAUGGUUCAAAGCUCCGGCGCCUAAGGAUGGAUCUGCGGUCUAUCAGGUUGUAGUGGGUGUAACGUACCUACUAGCCGACGACGGAUACGGGUUGUGAGAGCAAGAGCCCGGAGAUGGAUUCUGAGACACGAAUCCAGGCCCUACGGGGUGCAGCAGGCGCGAACACUUUACAAUGCGGGAAACCGCGAUAAGGGAACCCCGAGUGCCAGCAUCAAAUGUUGGCUGUCCAGAUGAUUAAAAAUCAUUUGUUAGCAAGGGCCGGGCAAGACCGGUGCCAGCCGCCGCGGUAACACCGGCGGCCCGAGUGGUAGCCGUUUUUAUUGGGUCUAAAGGGUCCGUAGCCGGGCUGAUAAGUCCUUUGGGAAAUCUGGCAGCUUAACUGUCAGGCUUCUAAGGGAUACUGUCAGGCUUGGGACCGGAAGAGGUAAGGGGUACUCCAGGGGUAGGAGUGAAAUCUUGUAAUCCCUGGGGGACC